UACGGGGGGAGCAAGCGUUGUUCGGAUUUACUGGGCGUAAAGGGCGCGUAGGCGGCCACUGCAAGUCAGUUGUGAAAUCUCCGGGCUUAACCCGGAAAGGUCAACUGAUACUGCAGGGCUAGAGUGCAGAAGGGGCAACUGGAAUUCUCGGUGUAGCGGUGAAAUGCGUAGAUAUCGAGAGGAACACCUGCGGCGAAGGCGGGUCUCUGGACAGUUCCUGACGCUGAGGCACGAAGGCCAGGGGAGCAAACGGG
rnacentral:rRNA from 1 species